AAGGACUUUUGUGUGUGGGAAAAACAAUAUUUCUCAAACAUUUUUUUCAUAUAAUCUCAUACUAUCAUCACCUGGAAUCAGCAGCCCGUUCUAUACCGAAUAUGCAAAGUAGUAGAUUUUACAGUUGGUUACAUUUUACUCUAUUAUUAGAGGAUUUGAGAACUAAAACCUUUGGCAAAGUCAUGAGACGAGAAAUAAAAUACAUGUGGUACACAUGCAAACUGACAUGAGAAAUUUAAAUGUGUACUUGGUUUCGCUUACUGGCAUAACCACAGCUCACACCUGGUGUCUGUGAUGCUCCGUUGCUCUUUGCAUUCUCUCACUUCUGUAUUUUGGUACUUUUUUGAGACCCGGGUGUUACUCAAUGCUUCCGCUUGCUGCUUGCCCUGAUCACUCUGCCCUAUCAUGCAUAACAACUGUGCAACAGACUUCCUGCCUUAUCUUCACCUGACACAGCAACACCAAACAAUGUCAAAUUAUAACUCUGCCAUCUAGCCUAAAGACAAACACACUACACUUAAAACUGAAAUGAAACAGUUCCUCAUUUACCAAAAUCUGAAGCGCCUCGGAUUGUCCCACCGAUUGUCCCACGGAUUGUCUCACCAAACAUCAUAUUGUACUCAGUCUGGGAUGGGGAAUUUGGAAUCUCACCAUUUAGGCUCAUCUGCACAUUGAGUGACUUCUUUCCAGACAAUCUGACUUUGGAGUGGGUACAGGAUGAAGAUCCACAGAAUCAAACCAACAAGGCAAGCACAAGGAAGCUACAAAGUGCAGAGGGAGAGGGGAAAACCUUCAGCCUGAGCAGCAAACUCAGCCCAGAUAUGACAAUGUGGGCAAAAGGCUCAACUUUUACCUGCAUGGCUAAUCACAAUGACGUUGAAUAUAACAGAACAAUAAACAUUUGUCACACUCUUCCAAGCUCCCCUCCCUUCAUUCAAGUGGAGAUUUCCAGGUUCAAGACUGCAAUUACCUCAAAUACUGACGUGCAAGCAACAUGUUUGGUCCACACUUAUUUUGAUGCCAUGAUCACCUGGCUGAUUGAUGGCACAGCCAAGAGUGAAAGAGUGACCCAAAAGAAAAACGCAACUCAUAUAAUCAGCAAUCUUAGAGUUCCCUCGACUCAAUGGGAGAAAGUGAAGAACGUAACAUGCAAAGCAGAGCAUAAGUGCUUCACAUCUGCUGAGAAGACCAUAAAUAUUGCAGGUUGUCCAGUUAAUACUCCUUUGGUGGAGAUCAGGCGAUCUCUCACAGAUCUGCUGAAGAGAGACCGUGCAGUGUUCGAGUGUGACAUCCAAAAACUGUCGUCAUGUGACCUCUUCAUCACCUUAGAAGUCAAUCAUGGUCAAAUGCUUGAAAAAAAACAUUAUAAUUUUGCUGAAGGCUCAGUAGUCAAUCUUUCAAUCAGUAGUCAAUUCAUUGUCCCUCAGAAGUUCUGGAUGAAAGACCAAACCUUUACCUGCAAAGUGUUUCAAGGCUUUUCUCAAACUUUUCACUCAAAUUCCAUCAGCAAUAUUUUUGUGGACCCAUCCAUGGAGCUUCUUCUGGUUCCCAGUAAAGGUUCAGAAUCAAAGACUCUUUCAUGCUCUGGAUGGAGCUUCAACCCUCACAUUAAAUGGUUGUCUGACUCUCAGGAAAGGUCUCCAAAUUCCACUGAUAUCAGCAUGAGUGUAGAUGGACAUAUUAGAGUAACGAGUCAACUUGUAAUUGAUCACUCUGAGUGGAAAAAAGGGAAUAAUUUCACCUGUGAAGUGUCUGACAGGUCUCUGAACACACGUAUCACAAAAACGAUCAGUCUCUGUUCAGAAACUCCAUCAUCAUCACACCUAGUUGGGGUUUAUGUCCAGGGACCACCACCACAGCUGAGUGAGAACAAAGGAAAUGUGACUAUUACCUGUCUUCUGGUCGGUCUUAAUCUUAAUGAUUUCUCCAUCACCUGGAGAGUAGGUGGGAGUCCUGCGAGUAAUGUCCUUACUUAUCCCCCAUUGAGUCACAGCAAUGGAACAGAGACUCGACAGAGCUUCCUUAAUGUGUCAGCAGUGGACUGGAAUGCAUAUACAAACAUUUCUUGUGAAGGAAAACAUCCAUGCUCCAAUCAGGGGAAUGAAGACCAUAUAAGCAAAAGCACAGUCCGCCUUGUGCCAACAAUGAAGAUAAUACAACCAACUGCCUCUGAACUUUUUAUGUCUGACAACGUAACACUUGUUUGCCUAGUGUCUGGAUUUUUCCCUGCUAACAUCAUAGUGUACUGGGAAGAAGAUGGCCAGACUCUCCCAUCCUCGCAUUAUGUUAACAGUCCUCCAUGGAAAUACUCAGGGAGCAGCUCUUACUCCAUAAGCAGCAGACUAAACAUAUCCAAAACUGAAGACAAAAGGUCUACGUAUUCUUGUGUUGUCAAACAUGAGUCAUCUAAAGUGCCUGUUGAAGCCAAUAUAACAAAUGUGUUUGAUACACCGGAUUGCUGUAAUUUAUUUGACAACAUUGUGCAUGCUGAUGUGAAUCAAGACACAGCUGAGGAAAGCUGGAAUGUGGUUUUCACCCUCAUUGGUUUUUUCAUCACCGCCACCAUAUAUGGUAUCAUAGUUACAUUGAUUAAGACGAAAUCAUGAUGUUCACAGGACGGUUCCUGUAUUAUGACUGAAAUAUGGAAAUUCUGGGGGUUUGAACAGCACCUGUCCUGACUAGUUUAAACAUUUAAUGCUUUUUGUUUCCAUGUUAUUAAUGGCAUUGUUUAUGCUUUACAAUUUUUGACAUUUGUGUUUUAGUUUUGUGCUAGAUGUGACAUGUAUGUAAGAUGAUGUGAGGAAAUGCAUUAAAAUCAAUAAAGAAAACGAAUGACUAAGUA